rnacentral:misc_RNA from 1 species
UCGGCGACUUCGUCCACGUUAGGCCUGUAGCGGGUGUGUUUCCCCACCCAGUUGUCAGUAUUUCGGCGUGAACUUUAGCAGUCAAGAUGAGCGCCGUCCAGCAGGGAACGUUGCUAGAAGUGCUCAAGAAAAAAAUGCGGGCCAUGAAAGACGAACUGGAAACUGCGAAAGAACAAGCAGAGGACGCGCAAUCACGGGUGAUGGAAGAAAUCCGGCGUCGUGAAGAAGCUGAGGCUGAGGUUGCUGCCCACAACCGACGCAUCCAGCUGCUGGAGGAGGACCUGGAACGCUCUGAGGAACGACUCAAGAUUGCCACCCAGAAACUGGAAGAGGCCUCCCAGGCGGCUGACGAAAGCGAACGCAUCCGCAAGGCACUGGAGAACCGCACCAACAUGGAAGAUGACCGGAUCACACUGCUUGAGAACCAGCUGGGCCAGGCACGCCUCAUAGCUGAGGAGUCUGACAAAAAAUAUGAAGAGAUGGCACGCCGCAUCGCCCUUUUGGAGGCUGACCUGGAAAGGGCUGAGGAGAGGGCCUCCACGGGCGAGAGCAAAAUUGUGGAACUUGAGGAGGAGCUGCGUGUCGUGGGCAACAACCUGAAGUCCCUGGAAGUGAGCGAAGAGAAGGCCCAGCAGCGUGAGGAGUCGUAUGCGCUUCAGAUCAGCACAAUGACUGCCAAACUGAAGGAGGCCGAGGCCCGGGCUGAAUUUGCCGAGAGGUCAGUGCAGAAGCUGCAGAAGGAAGUGGACAGACUGGAAGACGAGCUGCUUGUGGAGCGCGAGAAGAACCACAUGCUCCAGGAAGAGGUGGAGACCACCCUGAAGGACCUGCAGUCCAUGUGACCGGGCUCUCCGGCGCCCCGCUCUGCCUGCCACUGCUUUCUUCCCCCCUCUGUCCAGACGAGCUUGUCCAGGAGAAGGAGAAGUACAAGGCCAUCUCGGACGAGCUGGAUCAGACCUUCUCUGAACUCACUGGCUACUAAGCUCCAUGCAAAGGGACUGGCGCCACCGUCGUUUCUACCGCUGCUCUGCCAACGUUUCACUCUCACUUCGUCGUUGUCGUUGGGGGGUUAGGCUAGGACAGCAGGGGGACACAAGAAAAAUGCCUUUUUACCCAAUCAGAGAUCGGGAGACAGGGAGAGGGGCCUGUUGUAACCCGCCGUCUUGUCCACCCAAAUUGGCCUGGGACACAUUUGGCACUGCAUUUGCCAGUGGCCGUUGUCUCAUUGCAUUGUUGGACUGAAAGGUUUGGGAAGGAGCUACUGUUUUCUUCUUUUGUCCCCUGUACUCUUGUUACAACAUGGAUAGACAGUGCCUCUCCCCUCUCGCCUUUCUUUUUCAUUGACUGUUGUUUGAGACACCAACCACACAUACAGACACAGAGAAGAACCAGCACUCUUCUUGUAUUUUUUUUUUUUUUUUGUUCAGCUCUAUGCAUUUCCCCCCUUUUUUUUUUCUCCUUAAUUUCGGCAAGGUUGUAAGUAUUUUACAUCUUGUUUUCCUGCAGAUGUGAGGAUGUGUAAUGAAUGCUCCCAUGCUUUAUUUUUAUUUUUUUUUAUUGGGACGGGAAAGCAAAGAGAGUGUUAAGUUUUGUGCCUAGGAAUUCGAGGAAAGUGUUUUUUUGACACGUGUUGUACUCUGGACAUGACUGGAUGCCCUAGUAGCAUUGCCUGCAUCUUGGGUGCACCAGCCGUUUCUAGAGCAAACAAGGUUGAUUGAUAAAACCAAAACUGCCAAGCAAUUUGUAUGCCAAUAUAUCUGGUAAUAAAAGAAAACCAUAUUUAAAGGUGCUCUGGCAAAAA